rnacentral:lncRNA from 1 species
UGUGUCAGCUGAACUACUUCGCAGUGUCUGAAGGGACAUAGCUGUGAAACAGCUGGAUGCAGUUCAACACUCAAGACUGCAGAAAUGUUAGGAAGCUGAGGAAACCCGCAGGAAGACAUGGAAAAUAACAUAUCUGCACUCUAAAGAUGUGCGACUGCCAGCUGUGAUUAAAGUUCAAAUUUAUGGAGAACUACAUAUUCCUUGCUGCUCUCAGCUAGCCAUGGCAGUUUCUGCUACCCAAUUCUAUGUUCUCUGGAUUCUAUAUCAGAGGCCUGAUUAGCUUCAUUCUACUGGGGGAGGAAGAGGAGGGUUGCUGCACACAGCCAGAGAUACUCAAAUUUCAGCAGAAUUGCAGGAUCAGCUGUAGAACUUAAAACAUUUGAUUUUCAGCCUGCUCCUGUGCUCUCAACCUCUCAGGACUUACAUUACAAUUUGGGGUAUGGUGACUGUCCUACAGAUCCUGCCUUUGGUACAGACGGAGCAUUGUCUAGUCUGAAACAGGCACAGAUCAACGUAAUGUUUAUGGCUGUUCAGAACUGCAAUCUUAUUCAAGCCAAAUUUUUAAUACCAUCAUGCAGAGGAGGAGCAGAAGGAAAGUACACUGAUUUCCUAUAAUACCAGCUGAUACCAUCUGAUAUGUAGUGGAAAGGUCAUAGGGAAAUUAAGCCAAAUAUUAUUUGGAAGAAAGUAUCAAAAGAAAGAAGAGACAAGUGUAUGAAGUUAAAUCACUCACUUCAUUUACAAUUACACAACAGAAAACUGAGCUGACUGAAAGAAGAAUGUGAGAAAAUUCUGGCACCAGACAUCCCCUGCCUGUGUUGUAGCUUUCAGAAAUACCUUAACUUGGCAAUGCAGCUUUCUCCCAAGGGCUCUCUGCAGUCCAUCAUCAUGCUCCAUGUCCAACAGACAACAGCUUUGUUGAUUUAGAAAACAAAUGACUUACUGAAUUUGUGCACCAAGUAUCAAGGUCUCUUGAUGUAUUUAUUUUCUCAGUUAAAUGAAUAAACAUUUUUGAUCUAAUGUCCA